rnacentral:rRNA from 1 species
CCCUUAGAUGUUCUGGGCCGCACGCGCGCUACACUGAUGCAUUCAACGAGUCCAACCUUGACCGAGAGGUCCGGGUAAUCUUUGAAACUGCAUCGUGAUGGGGCUAGAUUAUUGCAAUUAUUAAUCUUCAACGAGGAAUGCCUAGUAAGCGUGAUUCAUCAAAUCGCGUUGAUUACGUCCCUGCCCUUUGUACACACCGCUCGUCGCUCCUACCGAUUGAGUGUGUUGGUGAGGAGUUUGGAUUGGCCUCGGAAGGUGGUUCGCCACCGUCCGUAGCUGAGAAGUUCUCCAAACCGCCCCACUUAGAGGAAGGAGAAGUCGUAACA